rnacentral:rRNA from 1 species
CCAGCAGCCGCGGUAAUUCCAGCUCCACAAGUGUAUUCCUAUAUUGUUGCGGUUAAAAAGCACAUAGUUGGAUCUGAGUGCUUAGCGGGUGGUACAGUGUUUCACUGUCACUGCUUCGCGGCACAAAACCAUCGACUGACUGCUGUUGUUGCCUUCACCGGUGACGGCAGUUAGCUAUCGACAUGUUUACUUUGAACAGAGCAGAGUGCUCAAAACAGGCGUUUUGCUUGUAUGUAUUGCAAGGAAUAAUAGAAUAGGACCUUGGGUCUAUUUUGUUGGUUUUCGGAAUCAAGGUAAUGAUUAAGAGGGACAGAUGGGGGCAUUCGUACUGCAACGGGAGAGGU